rnacentral:rRNA from 1 species
AGAGUUUGAUCCUGGCUCAGGAUGAACGCUGGCGGCGUGCCUUAUACAUGCAAGUCGAGGGGGUUAGACCCCCGGCGAACGGGUGAGUAAUACAUAGGUACUUUGCCUUGGCGGAGGAUAACCAGCCGAAAGGUUGGACAAUACUCCAUGUGAUCGCAAGAUCAAAGCUUGUCCCAGCACAAAAGCGGGGAUCGGCACCAAGGAAUAGGCCUGUGUCCUAUCAGCUAGUUGGUGAGGUAACGGCCCACCAAGGCUAUGACGGGUAGCUGGUCUGAGAGGAUGAUCAGCCACAAUGGGACUGCGACACGGCCCAUACUCCUACGGGAGGCAGCAGUAGGGAAUUUUGGACAAUGGGGGAAACCCUGAUCCAGCGACGCCGCGUGCGGGAUGAAGGCCUUCGGGUUGUAAACCGCUUUUGUAGGGGAAGAAUUUCUGACUGUACCCUGCGAAUAAGAGGUUGCUUACUCUGUGCCAGCAGCAGCGGUAAUACAGAGACCUCAAGCGUUAUCCGGAAUCAUUGGGCGUAAAGCGUACCGAUAGGUGGUUUUGUUAGUGUCUGGUUAAAUUUAGGGGCUCAACUCCUAAACCGCUAGGCAUACUGCAAGACUAGAGGAACAAAGAGGAAGCUGGAACGAACGGUGUAGCAGUGAAAUGCGUUGAUAUCGUUCGGAACACCGAUAGCGAAGGCAGGCUUCUG